UCGGGGUGUAGCUCAGCCCGGUUAGAGUACGCGUCUGGGGGGCGUGUGGUCGCUGGUUCGAAUCCAGUCACCCCGACUGG
rnacentral:tRNA from 3 species